rnacentral:rRNA from 1 species
CAGAGAUAUGGAGGAACACCAGUGGCGAAGGCGACUUUCUGGUCUGUAACUGACGCUGAUGUGCGAAAGCGCGGGGAUCAAACAGGAUUAGAUACCCUGGUAGUCCACGCCGUAAACGAUGAGUGCUAAGUGUUAGGGGGUUUCCGCCCCUUAGUGCUGCAGCUAACGCAUUAAGCACUCCGCCUGGGGAGUACGACCGCAAGGUUGAAACUCAAAGGAAUUGACAGGG